AGCAGCCGCGGUAAUUCCAGCUCCAAUAGCGUAUAUUAAAGUUGUUGCAGUUAAAAAGCUCGUAGUUGAAUUUCGGGAUUGACGUGAUGGUCAUGCCUUAAGGGGUAUGAACUGUUACUGUUGAUUUCUCACCUUCUGGAGAAACUUGAUGUCCUUUAUUGGGUGUCUUGCGGAUCCAGGACCUUUACCUUGAAAAAUUAGAGUGUUUAAAGCAGGCAUUUUUGCUCGAAUACAUUAGCAUGGAAUAAUAGAAUAGGACGGCAUGGUUCUAUUUUGUUGGUUUCUAGGAUCACCGUAAUGAUUAAUAGGGAUAGUUGGGGGCAUUAGUAUUCAAUUGUCAGAGGUGAAAUUCUUGGAUUUAUUGAAGACUAACUACUGCGAAAGCAUUUGCCAAGGAUGUUUUCAUUAAUCAAGAACGAAAGUUAGGGGAUCGAAGACGAUCAGAUACCGUCGUAGUCUUAACCAUAAACUAUGCCGACUAGGAAUCAGACGAUGUUAAUUUUUAAUGACUCGUUUCGG
rnacentral:misc_RNA from 1 species